AACGAACGCUGGCGGCAUGCCUAACACAUGCAAGUCGAACGAGACCUUCGGGUCUAGUGGCGCACGGGUGCGUAACGCGUGGGAAUCUGCCCUUGGGUUCGGAAUAACAGUUAGAAAUGACUGCUAAUACCGGAUAAUGUCUUCGGACCAAAGAUUUAUCGCCCAGGGAUGAGCCCCGCGUAGGAUUAGCUAGUUGGUGAGGUAAAGGCUCACCAAGGCGACGAUCCUUAGCUGGUCUGAGAGGAUGAUCAGCCACACUGGGACUGAGACACGGCCCAGACUCCUACGGGAGGCAGCAGUGGGGAAUAUUGGACAAUGGCGAAAGCCUGAUCCAGCAAUGCCGCGUGAGUGAUGAAGGCCUUAGGGUUGUAAAGCUCUUUUACCCGGGAUGAUAAUGACAGUACCGGGAGAAUAAGCCCCGGCUAACGUCCGU
rnacentral:rRNA from 1 species